CUCAGGACUCUGGAAAAAUCCCCUGGGGGGGGAAAAAAAAUAAAAAUCCCUUGAACUGGGGGACAUCCCCUUCUCGGUGGGGUUUUGAUGCUUUUUCUAGGGAUGCCUUGGGAAAUAUCGGGGGGGUUUUGCUCCCCGAGGUGCAGCGGACGGAGGGUGCCCCCCAUCCAGCCUGAGCCUGCGUGGAGCAGCUUGGGGAUGGGGGGCAGGAGGGGCCCUGUUUUCCCCCCAUCUUUGUGGCAAACCGCAUCUCACCGCAAUCUCUGCCUCUCUCCCUCCAGCACCCCAGUUCCCCCAGUCCUCAUCUUACUGGGAAUCAGCCCUCCCAGGUGAUGAGGCUUUGGGGGAGGCGGGUUGUGUGGGGGGUUUGGGGGAGCAGGGCUCCCUCUCCAUCCUUAUUGAUUCUCCUCUCCCCAAAGGAGCUGCCGCUCCCGGGACCAUCCCCAAGGGCCGGAUCCUGCACGCUCCAGCCCUGAGGCAGCUCAGGACCCACCGUGGAGCUGGAGCACGUCCCUGCUCGGGGGUUCCCCCCCCCCCCUCCUCCCCGUUACCUGGAGCCUCCGGCUCAGGACUCGCUGUCGGCCCAGCGCGGAGCUGCCUCCGCCGAGCUUCCCCCGCGAGAAACGUCCUCCCUUCCUGCGCUGAGGCUGCAAAGUUGGGGGGGGAUACAGAGGCCCCCCCACUUUACACCCCGAGGACUGACGAGCCUCCCGACAGCAGGGCACAAUGGAGGCGACGACGCCGGGCAUGGCUUUGCUCCGGAAGCCCAAGCCGGUAUCCGGGAGAGAGGAGACGCCAAGAACAAGCUCCUUGGCGGCAGCGUUUACCCAGAGCCCUCUAGAGGUAACCCAACCUUGGCUCCCCCCCACCCCAACCUUGGCUCUCCCCCCAGCCCAACCCUCCCCGGGGGGCACAGGGGACCCCGCUACGCUCCUGCCCCAUCACCGGCAUCGCUCUUCCCUUUUACCCGGCCGUUUUGGAAGAAGCUCAGCCUUGCUCGAAACGCCGCCGGGAGCUCACGACAGCAGCAGAGGGGACACUUCAAGGAUCGUGAGCGUGGGGAAGUGUGGGGAGGUGAGGGGGUGCUCUGGGGGAUCCCCUCAGGUGGGAGAGAGGGACACCGGGCUGGUUUCCCCCCUCGGCAUCAGGGAUGGGAGCUGCGCAAGCAAGAAAUUGGGGUUUUCCACCUGGAAGAGUGGUUCAAACCGUGUUUUCAUCAUGUGGCUGGUGAAAACGGGGUUGUUUCCCCCCCUGCAAAGCUCCGGGCUCAGGAGUCACGCGCUAACGGGUGGGAAAAAGGGGGAAUUUCCACUUACCAAGUUAUUCCUUCUCGUUGCCGGAGGAGGAGAGCGGGGAAAACACAGCUCCGCCAACAAGAAGAUAAAGAAAAGCAGCCGGGGAGUGAGAGGGGAGCCUGGAUUUCUGCCUCUGAGAAAACCCAGGAGGUUUAAAACCACGCGGAUGCUUCUCCCUCCGGCCUACGGGCGAGAAGCCCUACCAGUGCUCCGACUGCGGCAAGAGCUUCAUCGUCAUCACGCACCGGUGGCUCCACCGCGGCGUCCACCAGCUCCGUGCGUGAAUGGCUCCAGCUCCCGCCUUGUGCUGGCGAGGCCCGGUGAUGCCAGCCCAGCCUGGAGGUCUUCUCCAGAGGCUGGAAGUCAACCAGGACUCCACUUAUCUUGGCACAUGCUGGAAAAGGAAGAAAGAUCUGUGUAUCUGGGGGUGUGAAGGGAAGGAUGAGGACCGAGCGGGGUCACCCUCAGCAGAAAACCAAUUCUGGGUGAAGUUUCUCCUGCUCUGCUGGAAGAGAGAGAAAUCACAGAGUCAUCUCGGUUGGAAAAGCCCUUGAAGAUCAUCCAGUCCAACCAUUGACCUCACACUGGACGUUCCUCCCAGCCAAACCACUCCAGAGCAUCUCCUGCUCUCCCCCUGCCCAAACACAACCACAAAAAGGAUCUUUUUUUUCCCUUGUUGCCCCAAACUCUCCCAGUGUCAAGAUAUUUGACACAACAGGCCCGAGGGCUGUUUCACCUCCCCUCCGGCCACGCGCUUGUCCAAAUAACAACUUCGGGAGUAGAAAGGUGGGGUGAUAAACACCCGCUGUGGUCUCUGCGUGUGUGUGGGCCCACGGGGGGGUCCAGACACAUGAGCCCCACACCCCCUUUUACCUUCACCCGCGCCCCAGAGCUGUGAGGUUGUCGGUAAAAGGAAAACGCGAGAUGUGGAAGGAUUAAUUCUUGAGGAUGAGGAGGGGGAGGAAGGUUUGUGACAGUGUCAGGAUGGCCGAGUGGUCUAAGGCGCCAGACUCAAGGCUUUGCUUUCCCUGCCAGGGAUUUCUGGUCUCCGAAUGGAGGCGUGGGUUCAAAUCCCACUUCUGACACACCUUUUCCUGCUAAAAACUAACAUUGUUAAUAUAUAUUUUUUAAAAUAACUCCCCCAUCAUCCCUACCAAUUAGGGAAAACGCCGAUUCUCCUUGUUUUCCCCCCGAAAAAACCUUGGUCCUGUACCAACCUCUACUGCUCGCCCGUUGCGGUCAGGUGUGGAGAAACCAUGAGGGAUGGGAAAGGGGGGACAGAGGUGGCAGCGGGGGGGUCUUGGCUGUGGGGCGAAGUGGGGGCAGCGCGUUCCCCCCCACACACACUCGGGGGUCCCUCGUGGAGCGGCCACGUGUGAGGCCGUGUCAAAAAUAUAUUUUUGUGCUUCCCUGGUGGUCUAGUGGUCAGGAUUCGGCGCUCUCACCGCCGCGGCCCGGGUUCGAUUCCCGGUCAGGGAACAUUCCACCAAGACAUUUUCCUUCUUAAAAAAACUUUUUAAUACCAAUAAGACUCCUUUUCGCACCAAAUUCACCCCUCGAAGCACACACAGCGACAACAACCCCUCCCCAACGAAUUGAAAAGCUGGUUGGCACCCUUGAUGCACAGGCUGAUCCUGUUCUUUUUUACGGGUCGCUGCUAUAAUUGUGGAUAACAACUUGAUGAGGGGUGGGUUUAGCAGAACUGGGAUAUCACCAUCCCUAUCCGAGGGUAAAUUGACUGGUGGGGACUUUUUCACCGGCUCACAGCAAUUCCCAUCACCUGCUGGUAAUUAAAACACAUAUUCAAGUAUAUAUAACCGUAAGGAGGCUGUGAAAACCCAUAUUUCAAGGUAAAAAAUCACUUAGAGCUGCUCACUAAUGAAACACCGAGC
rnacentral:tRNA from 1 species